rnacentral:lncRNA from 1 species
CAUAACGACCACCAAAAGGAGGUUCCUGACCUGCGGCAACAGCUUCUUCAUGACGUUGCUGCGAAUAAUGAAGCAUUGCUUUUUCCAGUGCGCUGUUUUUCUUCGGCUUAUGCUGAGGGCCAACUAUGAUUUUCCCCUUGCUGAAAUAGGAACAACGAUCGCCCCCACCAUCGCCACUUCCUCCAGUAGCAAAAGCCAUCUAUGUACAAAAAUUAUUACCUUAACACUGCAUAAGUUAUUGAACUUGAAGACCGUGAUCAUCUCGCGAGCAUGUCCUCAACUGGGUGGCACCGCACUUCGUCAUGAAAGAGGUUAGAUGCUACAGAAAAGGGGACACAGUCACGAUGUCCGUAUCCACUCUUUCUCGUAGAAUCGAACCUCCUUGUUGACAUACGUUGCUGCUCGGCGGAGAACAUCCUAUGCGAGAUGACCACGGUAUGUAAGUUCAACAAGUAUGGAUUUGAAAAAUCUUAUUGAAUUUGAUAAGUUCAACAAGUAGCAGAAGUCAUCUAUGUACAAAAAUUCUUUCCUUACCACUGCAGAAGUUGUUGAACUUGAAGACCGUGAUCAUCUCGCGAGCAUGUUCUCAACUGGGCGGCACCGCACUUCGUCAUGAAAGAGGUUAGAUGCUACGGAAAAGGGGACACGGUCACAAUGUCCGUAUCCACUCUUUCUUGUAGAAUCGAACCUCCUUCUUGACAUACGUUGCUGCUCGGCAGAGAACAUCAUCGCAGAGAUGAACACGGUAUGCAAGUUCAACAAGUAUGGAUUUGAAAAAUCAUAUUGAAUUUGAUAAGAUAAACCGUCUAGACAAGGUAGCAUCAUUCUUAAACCACUGCAAUAAUGCAUACUAUAUAUAUGACACAUCAAUCUCCGUCACAUUCUAGCU